UAAAUCACUCGGCCCUCUUUUUUAUCCAUGGACGUGGAUGAGACAUGGAUCUUGUCUGUCUAUCACCUUCGAGUUCGCAAAAGGACAAGAAGGAAUGCUUGGAAAAAAAUGAGAGCCAAUCCAUUCUCCUUUUUAUCCUUUUCAUGUAUCCAAGGAAGGCAUUGGCCAAACUAAACAUGAGAUUUCCAUCAGUCUAGAUAUGAUGGGCAGGGAAUCUUGAAAAGUAGGCACCGUGAAUCACGGAUUUAAAUAACACCAUUGUAAAGAUGGUAAUAAUUUCAGCCACCUCGCAGGAUAUUAUUAGUGUAAAUAAUAUAAAAAUAUAACAAAUAUUAAGAGAUAUGAUAAAAUAUUUUGCUUCUACGAGCUCACACCUUUUAUGGUGAGUGCCCUGCUAUCUAAUUAUAGUUUAGUUUGUCUCUCGUGUUGAGUUUGGUUGGAUCUUUCGCACGGUUCAUCUUUUUUUAUGACAUUAAUCAUUGGAUUGUGCAUGAUUUUCAAAGCAUUUCAAUCUCUAUCUUUCAUCUUUCAUGGGUCCGUAUAGAUCUCAAAAUUGAUAUUGCAUAAUUCAAUAGUUGACGUCACAAAAGAAGAAGAAUCAUCCUUGCC
rnacentral:lncRNA from 1 species